GGUGUCUGCUACUCCUGUGAGCAGCAAGUAGCUUUGCCUGGCUUGCUCCUGAUCCCGUUGGUAGGUCUGCUUGCUUGUUACUCCAGCAUCCACCUUUACUUUGGAGACUAUAAAAGUGAACUCCGGUGUGCUCACUCAUCCCCCUGGACCACCUGUCUCCAGUGGCAGAAGCUUGGCAUCAUCAAAGGCUGUGACCUGGUGUCAUCAGCCACCAGCUAUGAAACCCGAAGAACAUCCUUGGGAGAGAGAGGACACCUGCCCCUUUUCGCCACUAUGAAGAGAGUGAUUGUGUGGACUGACAGAGCCUGCAAUCUCUCAGCCACUUACUCAUCUCCUGCUCAUCUCUGUUGGAAACACUACCAGCCAAGGCCAAACAAGCCAAACAGGUGUCAGUGUGCAUUCAGACCCUCCAAGGAUGAGGGUCUCUUCUGUGGUUACCAGAUUGCACUUUGAUGCCGGCCAGCUCCUGGCGUCUGCCGCUGGCCCUCCCAAGAUGGCAGUCUGUGGGGACAUAGUUCAGACACUUGAUCCAGC
rnacentral:lncRNA from 1 species